rnacentral:lncRNA from 1 species
GUGCAAGACAGGAAAUGUUCCUUGGAAGGUCCCCUAUCCCUGAAUGCUGACUGGUGAGAAACAGAACUGUAAAUUGGCACAGAGGUUUGCAGUUUUUCUGCUUAAAUACUUGCUGAAGUGAAUGUUCAGGAAUUAGCCCCAGAGUCAGUACUGUUGUCCCUGACGGUUAAUUUUUGAUGUCCAAUGCAAUAAAGGUCUUGCUCUGUGUGGUCUUGCUCUGUGUGCUUGGGUUGUUUCAGACUCUCGGACCCUACAGCAUGGCUUUAUUUCUUAGAAGUUGAUGGUGUGAGAAAAACGAGAAAACGUUUGCCUAGCUCUGGAACUAUAAGUUCUAGGUUCUAACACUGUUUGGAUCAGAUGAUGAGCGCCAUCUGCAGGCAGGAUGCUGAAAAUUGGAGGAAGAUACCACUGUUCAGCAUUAUUAAAGAUCAGGAAAACAAAGCAAAACAGUAAAUGCUCUUAUAAGCCUUUCAGUGAUACCAAAAUUUUCACAAGCCUCACACCGAAUUGUGGAACCCAUCGAAUUGCAAUCCAUAGAGAAAUGGGGCCCACCUGUAAAAACGCCUACAUCUUCAUACAACCUCCAGUCUUCAUUCACCAUGCCUUGCUGCUGGCACUUGGGGAAGUCGUUGCUGAUGUCACCAAUAUCUUCCACACCCCUUCGUUGUGCUAACAUUUACACAUACCUAGGAGUUUUCUAUCUUCAAAAUGUUUAAAUCUUCCUGGCGGUGGUGGCUCACGCCUUUAAUGCCAGCACUAGGGAGGGAGGCAGAG